GCAAAACACAACAAAGAAAGGAUUAUCAGUCUGUUCUAGAAGGAAUGUACCAUGGGCGGCCAAUGUCAGCACUACGCAUGGGGUCAAUACUAAGAACCAAGCAAACCUCUUGGCACCACUUUAUGCCAACCCAUAUCAAACACAACCCAGUACCAUCUUAGUACCAACAGAUGCCAAGCGAAAAAGAUUCAAGAAAUAUUG
rnacentral:lncRNA from 1 species